rnacentral:rRNA from 1 species
GAUCAUGGCUCAGAUGAACGCUGGCGGCGUGCCUAAUACAUGCAAGUCGAGCGAACUGAUUAGAAGCUUGCUUCUAUGACGUUAGCGGCGGACGGNUGAGUAACACGUGGGCAACCUGCCUGUAAGACUGGGAUAANUUCGGGAAACCGAAGCUAAUACCGGAUAGGAUCUUCUCCUUCAUGGGAGAUGAUUGAAAGAUGGUUUCGGCUAUCACUUACAGAUGGGCCCGCGGUGCAUUAGCUAGUUGGUGAGGUAACGGCUCACCAAGGCAACGAUGCAUAGCCGACCUGAGAGGGUGAUCGGCCACACUGGGACUGAGACACGGCCCAGACUCCUACGGGAGGCAGCAGUAGGGAAUCUUCCGCAAUGGACGAAAGUCUGACGGAGCAACGCCGCGUGAGUGAUGAAGGCUUUCGGGUCGUAAAACUCUGUUGUUAGGGAAGAACAAGUACGAGAGUAACUGCUCGUACCUUGACGGUACCUAACCAGAAAGCCACGGCUAACUACGUGCCAGCAGCCGCGGUAAUAC